UGAGUACGAGCUGCUACGGCAGCGAAGUGGGUGAUGUCAAGCUUCCAAGAAAAGCCCUAUACCCGUUAAGGCAUGACGGCCUGUACCCGAAACCGACACAGGUGGGGUGGUAGAGAAUACCGAGGGGCGCGAGAUAACUCUCUCUAAGGAACUCGGCAAAAUGGCCCCGUAACUUCGGGAGAAGGGGUGCCACCGCAAGGUGGUCGCAGUGAAGAGGCCCAGGCGACUGUUUACCAAAAACACAGGUCUCCGCUAAGUCGCAAGACGAUGUAUGGGGGCUGACGCCUGCCCAGUGCCGGAAGGUUGAGGAAGCUGGUCAGCGCAAGCGAAGCUAGCGACUGAAGCCCCGGUGAACGGCGGCCGUAACUAUAACGGUCCUAAGGUAGCGAAAUUCCUUGUCGGGUAAGUUCCGACCCGCACGAAAGGCGUAACGAUCUGGGCGCUGUCUCGGAGAGAGGCUCGGCGAAAUAGAAUUGUCUGUGAAGAUGCGGACUACGUGCACCCGGACAGAAAGACCCUAUGAAGCUUUACUGUAGCUUGGUAUUGUGCCCGGGCUCUGAAUGCGCAGGAUAGGUGGGAGGCUUUGAUCCAUUGCUUGUGGGUAAUGGUGAGCCACUGGUGAGAUACCACUCUUUCAGAGCUAGGGUUCUAACGGUCACCCGUUAUCCGGGGACCGGACAGUAUCAGGUGGGCAGUUUGACUGGGCGGUCGCCUCCUAAAAGGUAACGGAGGCGCGCAAAGGUUCCCUCAGGCUGGUUGGAAAUCAGCCGACGAGUGUAAAGGCAGAAGGGAGCUUGACUGUGAGACCUACAAGUCGAACAGGGACGAAAGUCGGCCUUAGUGAUCCGACGGUUCUGAGUGGAAGGGCCGUCGCUCAACGGAUAAAAGUUACUCUAGGAUAACAGGCUGAUCUCCCCCAAGAGUUCACAUCGACGGGGAGGUUUGGCACCUCGAUGUCGGCUCAUCGCAACCUGGGGCUGAAGUCGGUCCCAAGGGUUGGGCUGUUCGCCCAUUAAAGCGGUACGCGAGCUGGGUUCAGAACGUCGUGAGACAGUUCGGUCCAUAUCCGGUGCACGCGCAGGAACAUUGAGAGGAUUUCUCCCUAGUACGAGAGGACCGGGAGGAACGCACCUCUGGUGUACCAGUUAUCGUGCCAACGGUAAACGCUGGGUAGCCAUGUGCGGAGCGGAUAACCGCUGAAAGCAUCUAAGUGGGAAGCCCACCUCAAGAUGAGUGUUCCCAUGGCAUAAGCCAGUAAGGUCACGGGAAGAACACCCGUUGAUAGGCUCUACGUGGAAGCGUGGCAACACGUGAAGCGGAGGAGUACUAAUAGACCGAGGGCUUGACC
rnacentral:rRNA from 1 species